rnacentral:rRNA from 1 species
GACGUAGGGGGCGAGCGUUGUCCGGAUUCAUUGGGCGUAAAGCGCGCGUAGGCGGCAGGGCAAGUCGGCCGUGAAAUCUCCCAGCUUAACUGGGAGGGGUCGGGCGAGACUGCCCCGCUAGAGGCGGGUAGAGGGCAGUGGAAUUCCGGGUGUAGCGGUGGAAUGCGUAGAGAUCCGGAAGAACACCGGUGGCGAAGGCGGUCUGCUGGGGUAAUGCUGACACUGAGGCGCGACAGCGUGGGGAGCAAACAGG